GGGCGGUUAACUCAAGGGUAGAGUAUCUGUUUUACAAGCAGAGAGUUACAAGUUCGAAUCUUGUACCGCCCA
rnacentral:tRNA from 1 species